UACGUAGGGUGCAAGCGUUAAUCGGAAUUACUGGGCGUAAAGCGUGCGCAGGCGGUUUUGUAAGACAGAUGUGAAAUGCCCGGGCUUAACCUGGGAACUGCAUUUGUGACUGCAAGGCUAGAGUUUGGCAGAGGGGGGUAGAAUUCCACGUGUAGCAGUGAAAUGCGUAGAUAUGUGGAGGAAUACCGAUGGCGAAGGCAGCCCCCUGGGAUAACACUGACGCUCAUGCACGAAAGCGUGGGGAGCAAACAGG
rnacentral:rRNA from 1 species